UCCGGUGGUUAUGGCAAAGUGGUCACACCUGUUCCCAUCCCGAACACAGAAGUUAAGCACUUUAGCGGCAAAACUAGCUAUGCAUGCCAUAGUGAAGAUAGCUCGCUGCCGGAU
rfam:Firmicutes bacterium GWF2_51_9 gwf2_scaffold_22653, whole genome shotgun sequence.